rnacentral:rRNA from 1 species
GAGACUCUGUGCGCGUGCAUAUCAAUAAGCGGAGGAAAAGAAACUAACUAGGAUUCCCUCAGUAACGGCGAGUGAAGCGGGAAGAGCUCAAAUUUGAAAUCUUCAAGGUUCUACCUUGACGAGUUGUAGUUUAAAGAAGUGUUUUCUGUUGGAGUUUUGGUAAAAGUUCUUUGGAAUAGGACAUCAUAGAGGGUGAGAAUCCCGUAUUUGAUCAUUACUUUCCAACUGUGUGAUAUCACUUUCAAAGAGUCGGAUUGUUUGGGAAUGCAGUCCAAAAUGGGUGGUAAAUUUCAUCUAAAGCUAAAUAUUGGCGAGAGACCGAUAGCGAACAAGUACCGUGAGGGAAAGAUGAAUAGAACUUUGAAAGAGAGUUAAACAGUACGUGAAAUUGUCAAAAGGGAAGCGUUUGACACCAGUGUUGUUUAGUUGAAAAUCAAUUCAAUAAUUUUUGAUUUUGAGUAGUAUUGACUUCAUCAGCUUGCUGCUUUCUUUUCAGGAAAUUAUUGAAUGCACUUUUCAGUUAACUAGUCAACAUCAAUUUCUUUUGUUGUAAAAGGGUAAGAGGAAGGUGGCUUGACGCUUCGGCGUAAGUGUUUAUAGCCUUUUACCUCUGCAAUCGGAGAGAUUGAGGAUCUGCAGCGUAGACUCUUCGGGGUUAGAUACACUUUAUGCUAAGCUAUAGCCUUGUAUAGACAACUUGUUGACUAUGCUCAGUCAUGUAGCUUACUCGCUUGUGCUAUUUUACCUACGCUUAGGAUGUUGAACUCUAUCACACACAG